rnacentral:rRNA from 1 species
AUUGAACGCUGGCGGAAUGCUUUACACAUGCAAGUCGAACGGCAGCACGGACUUCGGUCUGGUGGCGAGUGGCGAACGGGUGAGUAAUACAUCGGAACGUGCCCAGUCGUGGGGGAUAACGUAGCGAAAGCUACGCUAAUACCGCAUACGAUCUAAGGAUGAAAGCGGGGGAUCGCAAGACCUCGCGCGAUUGGAGCGGCCGAUGGCAGAUUAGGUAGUUGGUAGGGUAAAGGCCUACCAAGCCGACGAUCUGUAGCUGGUCUGAGAGGAUGAUCAGCCACACUGGGACUGGGACACGGCCCAGACUCCGACGGGAGGCAGCAGUGGGGAAUUUUGGACAAUGGGCGCAAGCCUGAUCCAGCCAUUCCGCGUGCAGGAUGAAGGCAUUCGGGUUGUAAACUGCUUUUGUACAGAACGAAAAGGCUCUGGUUAAUACCCGGGGCUCAUGACGGUACUGUAAGGAUAAGCACCGGCUAACUACGUGCCAGCAGCCGCCGUAA